GUGCGGACGAUCUCAACGCACUAUCAUAAAUCAAACAAAUUUCGCACGGACGAUCUCCACAUGCCCAAAUUAUAAUCUUAACAUCUCACCAUCCCCAGCACGGACGAUCUCUACGUGCCCAACUUAUACUCAAUCUCAUGUCAAUGCAUGUGCCGAAUAUGAUUUCAAUAAAAGGGAUGAUGCAUCUCAAUCAAAUAUCAAUAUGAUAUGUAAUCACCUCAGCUAUCACCAGUAUACGGGUUCAAUAAAGAACACAAUCACACAUAAUAAAUCAAGUCAAUA
rnacentral:lncRNA from 1 species